rnacentral:rRNA from 1 species
CCUACGGGAGGCUGCAGUGAGGAAUAUUGGUCAAUGGCCGUAAGGCUGAACCAGCCAAGUAGCGUGAGGGAAGACUGCCCUAUGGGUUGUAAACCUCUUUUAUGCGGGGAUAAAGGUUUCCACGUGUGGAUGUUUGCAGGUACCGCAUGAAUAAGGACGGGCGAAUUCCGUGCCAGCAGCCGCGGUAAUACGGAAGGUCCGGGCGUUAUCCGGAUUGAUUGGGUUUAAAGGGAGCGUAGGCCGGUCUUUAAGCGUGCCGUGAAAUUUGGUGGCUCAACCAUGAGAGUCCGGGGCGAACUGGAGAACUUGAGUGCGCGGAAGGCAGGCGGAAUUCGUGGUGUAGCGGUGAAAUGCUUAGAUAUCACGAAGAACCCCGAUUGCGAAGGCAGCCUGCCGCAGCGUUACUGACGCUGAAGCUCGAAAGCGCGGGUAUCGAACAGGAUUAGAUACCCGAGUAGUC